ACACAUCAAGGGACCCAUCGUCA
rnacentral:siRNA from 1 species